AACGAACGCUGGCGGCAUGCCUAACACAUGCAAGUCGAACGAUUGCCUUCGGGUGAUAGUGGCGCACGGGUGCGUAACGCGUGGGAAUCUGCCCUUAGGUUCGGAAUAACAGCUGGAAACGGCUGCUAAUACCGGAUGAUAUCGCGAGAUCAAAGAUUUAUCGCCUGAGGAUGAGCCCGCGUUGGAUUCGGUAGUUGGUGGGGUAAAGGCCUACCAAGCCGACGAUCCAUAGCUGGUCUGAGAGGAUGAUCAGCCACACUGGGACUGAGACACGGCCCAGACUCCUACGGGAGGCAGCAGUGGGGAAUAUUGGACUAUGGGCGCAAGCCUGAUCCAGCAAUGCCGCGUGAGUGAUGAAGGCCCUAGGGUUGCAAAGCUCUUUUACCCGGGAAGAUAAUGACUGUACCGGGAGAAUAAGCCCCGGCUAACUCCGUG
rnacentral:rRNA from 1 species